rnacentral:piRNA from 4 species
UCAGACAUUUGGUGUAUGUGCUUGGCUG